UUCCGAUUAUUUAUAUUUUAGGAGAAUGAAUCACCAAAAAAGGCGCGGGAGGUAAAUAUUACACCCGUUAAGAAAAUCAUACCGAUGCCUUCACAAACAAAACAAGUGAUUUUGCAAUCCAAAGAAGGCCCACAAAUUCUAGGAAUGCUAUAAGGGAUUCAUCAGAUUUUACAAUCCUUAGAUUCAAAAGUGACAGCGCAGAACCAAAAAAUCGAUGAUAAUGUUCAACGUUUAAAUAAUUUUAAAAUUCAACACUGGGGCCUUACAUUUUUUUCUGCAGAGAUUUGGAACAAACGGUGAAGACAUUUCAGUUGACUGCUCCCAGUACGGUAUUUCAGAAGCCUGCUUUCAUCCCUUUUAAAAACUUCAAAGAACUAAAAAAAUAUGAUGUGUUCGGAGGAGGAACGAGAAAAAUUGAGAAAAUGGUUGGAUUCAUUCAACAGAAGAACCAAUGUUACCGAGAAUGUAAGGGAGAUUCUGCGAGGUAACCGGCUGAUGACAGAUGACCUUCUGACCGAUGUAGUAUGGGAAGGCCAGAAUGGCAGAAAAAGUUCUAAAAAACAAAUAUUCCGUUUACGAAUAACGUACGAUUUACGACACGCUCUUCAAAAUAUGUAUCCGGAGAUGACAGAUGA